rnacentral:lncRNA from 1 species
GUCUCAGCUCGAGCAUUCCUAGCGCCAACACGCCCUCAGGUAAAGGUGGAAGUAAAUGGCCACGCUGUAUUGACAGAGCAGGUAGAUGAAACUCAAGAGAAAAGGUGUGGAUAAAUGAAACUAGCCCAUGAUGAACCUGUUUUCUCCGUGACCACAAUAUUAACCAGGAUGAAUGGCGGUGGCAGUGGGCCUGCAUCACAGGUUGCAGCAGAUGUUCUCAAUAUUUCUAUUAAAAUUUCCUUAUUUCCAUAUGCAAGAGGAGCCCCAGAGCUGCAUCCUUAUGGUAGCUACCAUGCCGUGAUGUAAGCUGCCAUUCACUGGGGAGCUUUGGCAAUAGAAUUGGCUAGAUCAGGAAGCCUAUGUCAACUAUGGAACAACAACUUGCAGCUCAUCUCUAUUGAUGAUGGAAUCUCGCUAUGUCACCAGGCUGGAGUGCAGUGGCGCAACCUCGGCUCAGCGCAACAUCCGCCUCCCGGGUUCAAGUGAUUCUCCUACCUCAGCCUCCUGAGUAGCUGGGAUUACAGGUGAAACAGUCGCAAAUGGAAUUCCAAGAAACAUUCUAUAUACACUGCCUCUAGGACUGGGACAGAUAGCCACUGAGUACCUGCUUCAAAUCACCCUGCACGUUUUCUCUUUGGAAAGAUAAGCACUGGAGAACCAUCUCGUUACCUUCAGCAGAAAUGGAAACAAAUCAAGACAUUAAGAAUGCCGCAGUGGACAGCAGUUAUGCAAGGUUCAGCAGAGGAAGUUUUCAAGAUGGUGUGCCUCACUAGCCAGAAAUCAGAAAAGAUCGAAGCUAGCCUUUUCAUCUCAGCUGCUCCUUAAAUCAGUGCAACCCCUCCAAAUUAAUGUGAAUUGAAACUUGCAUUGCUUUUCAACUUAAUUGAAUACUUACUAUAUGUGAACCACUGCACAAAAUAGGGGAAGAAGAUGUGGGAGACAAAGAUGUGGAGCCUGUCUUCAAUAAAUUUACAGUUAGUUUCAGGGUACAUUGUUUUUCUUCUGCUGUUAAUUAGGUGUAUCCCCAAGACAAUAAAUACAUGAAUGGAAAAGUAUAUUCUGUGUUUUAAGUCUCUUUAAUAAAAAACAAAACAAAAUCCAAAAAAACUCCUAACAUGGCAACUCAGGACAUUUUAAUCCUUUUUUUUGUUGUUGGGCUUCUGAUAGGAUCCAUUUUAUUGAUUCCAUAAAUAUUUAGUAGACUUUAGACAUAUUAAUACAUUGUAGUUUGAGUUAAUUUGCAUUAAAUUCUGUUUUUUUCCCCUUAGGUAUAGAUUGUCUGUUGGAAAAAUAUAUUGCUUGUGGAUUUCUUGGGGAGUGGGAAGGUGAAUUAUACCUGUUGUCUCUACAGUCCACUACCUUCCACACCCUAGGGCAGUGGUCCCCAACCUUCUUGGCACCAGGGAUCAGUUUCCUGGAAGACAAUUUUUCUGUGGAUGGUGUGGGGAUGGUUUUGGGAUGGAACUGUUCCACCUCAGAUCAUCAGGCAUUAGUUAGGCUCUCAUAACGAGUGCGCAGCCUAGAUCCCUCACAUGCACAGUUCACAGUAGGGUUUGCGCUGCUAUGAGAAUCUAAGGCUGCCACUGAUCUGACAGGAGGCAGAACUCAGGUGGCAAUGCUUACUGGCCCACUGCUCACCUCUUGCUGUGCGGCCUGGUUCCUAAUAGGCCAUGGACCCCCACAGACGGGUACUAGUCUGCAGCCUGUGGACCCCAGCCCUAGGGGCCUGCCAUUCUGAGUGAGUUAUUAGCAUGAAGAAGAGGAAGAUCUGGAUCAAACGUGGGUGAUGGUACUCAGAGACCCAAGAUAGGAUAGGGAUGGAACAAAAUCCAUCUGGGCAACGGCUCUAUGAAAAUUUGGCUAAGUAAUUAUUUCAGUAUUCAUUGUAUUCAUUGUCCUUCGUGUUCCAUAAGUUAAAUGACUGUCUAAUUUUUCCAAAAAUUUAUUUCUGACUUGAGAAUAAGUGUGUCAUGAUUUUCCCAGUGUAAAGACACUGAUAUAACUGUAGAUACCAGACAUUUUAUGUAGUGUCUAUGACACAUUUUAGUAUGUAUGAGCCAACAAUAGACAUGUCUUUGUCUUGAGGAGUGUCCAUCUGAAUUGAAAAUGUGUCAGCUUUUUUUUAACAUCAUCAACAGACUUCUUAAUUAAGCUGCCAAUACAUACUGCCAAUAGCACUGUGUGCUGUCUGAGAAAUGCAUUGUGUAAGUGCUAUUUCCAUCUUAUUAAAUAAACAAUGUUGCUCUGUAUAAACUGGAUUUAAA